AAAUCGCCCCAAAAGUCAUAAAAAGCACUGUUUUUGACAAGAUGGGCCGCUCUAGCAAAGAAGAGGCUAGCCUAACUCCUUUUGUUUCCUGCUUCCUGCACCAAUCUAUUACACAUGGCAGGAACUAAAUAUAGCCACAAAGCCGCCAUGUGGCUUUGCUUAGAAACUUCAACACUAACAAAUUUAUACAAAUUUACAUGCCACAGCAAACUGAACUGACAAAUUGUUGCAAAAGUAUGAGAUGAAUUUGAACAUGUUCAGUGCUAUCUUAUAGGAUUGAUGAACAUCUAUACGUAA